rnacentral:rRNA from 1 species
UACGUAGGCAGCGAGCGUUGUUCGGAAUUACUGGGCGUAAAGAGUGUGUAGGCGGUGCUCUAAGUUCGGUGUGAAAUCUCCUGGCUCAACUGGGAGGGUGCGCCGGAAACUGGGAGCUUGAGCGUGGGAGAGGAAAGCGGAAUUCCUGGUGUAGCGGUGAAAAUGCGUAGAUAUCAGGAGGAACACCUGUGGUGUAGACGGCUUUCUGGACCAUAGCUGACGCUGAGAUACGAAAGCGUGGGUAGCGAACGGG